rnacentral:rRNA from 1 species
CCUACGGGGGGCUGCAGUGGGGAAUAUUGGACAAUGGGGGGAACCCUGAUCCAGCCAUGCCGCGUGUGUGAAGAAGGCCCUCGGGUUGUAAAGCACUUUCAGUGAGGAAGAACGCCUGGUGGUUAAUACCCAUCAGGAAAGACAUCACUCACAGAAGAAGCACCGGCUAACUCCGUGCCAGCAGCCGCGGUAAUACGGAGGGUGCGAGCGUUAAUCGGAAUUACUGGGCGUAAAGCGCGCGUAGGUGGCUUGAUAAGCCGGUUGUGAAAGCCCCGGGCUCAACCUGGGAACGGCAUCCGGAACUGGCAAGCUAGAGUGCAGGAGAGGAAGGUAGAAUUACCGGUGUAGCGGUGAAAUGCGUAGAGAUCGGGAGGAAUACCAGUGGCGAAGGCGGCCUUCUGGACUGACACUGACACUGAGGUGCGAAAGCGUGGGUAGCAAACAGGAUUAGAUACCCCGGUAGUC